CGGCGGACGGGUGAGUAACGCGUGGGUAACCUGCCUCAUACAGGGGGAUAACAGUUAGAAAUGGCUGCUAAUACCGCAUAAGCACACAGUACCGCAUGGUACAGUGUGAAAAACUCCGGUGGUAUGAGAUGGACCCGCGUCUGAUUAGCUGGUUGGCGGGGUAACGGCCCACCAAGGCGACGAUCAGUAGCCGACCUGAGAGGGUGACCGGCCACAUUGGGACUGAGACACGGCCCAA
rnacentral:rRNA from 1 species